AACAAACGCUGGCGGCGUGCCUAACACAUGCAAGUCGUACGAGAAAGGGUCCUUCGGGGCCUGAGUAAAGUGGCGCACGGGUGAGUAACGCGUGGAUAAUCUGCCCUUCAGUUGGGAAUAACUCAUCGAAAGGUGGGCUAAUACCGAAUAAUGCUGUGAGACCUCGGUUGAUCAGCCAAAGAGAGACUCUGCUUGCAAGCCCUCGCUGAAGGAUGAGUCCGCGUACCAUUAGCUAGUUGGUAGGGUAAUGGCCUACCAAGGCGACGAUGGUUAGCUGGUCUGAGAGGAUGAUCAGCCACACUGGAACUGAGACACGGUCCAGACUCCUACGGGAGGCAGCAGUGAGGAAUCUUGCGCAAUGGGGGCAACCCUGACGCAGCGACGCCGCGUGAGUGAGGAAGGUCUUCGGAUCGUAAAGCUCUGUCGGAUGGAAAGAACCGCAUAGGGGUAAACAGCCCCUGUGUCUGACGGUACCAUCAAAGGAAGCACCGGCUAACUCCGUGCCAGCAGCCGCCGCAGUAA
rnacentral:rRNA from 1 species